AUUCCCAUUAUUCGUCCUUCUGCGUGUGUGUGAGCUUCAUCUUUCACCCUUCAACACCAAUUCAUCCUUCAACUCUUUAGUGCUUUCAUCUUCAACCUUCAGUCUUCCACGAAUCGGAUGAACUUCAUCCAUUUUUCUCGACCAAUUCAUCCUUCAACCCUAAUUCUCCCUCUCCACGACUCCAAUUCAUAACCGCUCUGAUGACGAAGGACAAGUCCAAUCUCAACGGCGCCGCCAGCGAUUCGUCCAGACCUUCGUCCUCUUUCGUUAAAAAAGUCGAUCUUCAAAUUUUCACCGUCGAGCUCCGACAAAGAGAGACCACAAUAGUAUCGCGGAAGAAACUUGUUAAAGACACCAAUAAGGUCAACAAUGGAUCAUUUUCUGCUACUGAGCAACUUCUAAAACUGAACCCUGCGCUCGAAUCGCUCCUGGUUGGCGAGGAACUUGUGGACCAGAAGAGAUAUCUCGAAUACUCUUGCGAACCAAAGUGUGUGAAACCAUUUCUUGAAUAUCAGGUUAAUGACCAUUUUGUAUUAGAGCUUUAUUUUGAGCCAUUCAAUGCCUCGUUUCCUCGACCAAACCGAUCAUCGUCCACUGGCAAUGAUGUCCAGUUUCUCAAUCGCCACCUUUCUUCAAUUAUGUUUCGAAAGAAAGAUUCUUUGGAGCCAUUUUGCUUAAUUUCCUCCGAGCUCACAAAUAUAAAGGCGAAAUGCCAUGAUUUCGUUAAAUUAUUUGGUGCUGAGACAAUAAUUAUUUGUGAUAAGGUAUUGGGUAUUCCGCUCAUGUUAUUGUUUGCAAAUAUUUUCAAUUGGAAUAGAGUAAAGCUUCGUUAUUAUGAUGGUGGCUCAUUUACUGGGGAUGGUGAAGAUCAGAUUGCAGAACAUCAAUUCAGAGGACAACGUAUUUGGGCAGCUGCAAUGGAAGAUUUGAUGUCAAAGGGAAUGCGUUUUGCUAACCAGAUUAUACUUAUAGACACAUUUUAUAAUUCUAUUUUAAUAAUCUUUCUUCUAAUUUUAAAUACAACUAAUUUUGCAUCAGGCUCUUCUUUCUGGAUGUUCUGCAGGCGGCCUAGCAACUAUUAUACACUGCGUUGAAUUUCGAGGUCUCUUUCCAAGGACUACUAAAGUGAAAUGUCUAAGUGAUGCAGGCUCGUUUCUUGAUUUGUAAGCGACAAACUGCAGGAUUGAUAUAGAACCUUUUUUUACCAUCAUUAUAGAACUUUUUUGUUCAUUAGUUAGUUCUUAAUUGUUGUUUGCUUUCAAAUUAUAGAAUUGAUAUAUCUGGCGUUGUAGGUUUGCAGGUAUUGCACUAAUCAUGAAACUGCCAAUUUAUUGCAAAUAGUUUAUAUGCUUUUAGAAAUUUAAAUCUCACAUGGUUAAUGAUACUAAACUUUGUAUAUUUUAUUGACAUUUACAGUUGCAAUGUAGUGGUUGUGGUAGACUUUAUGUAGUAGUCAAACUAUCGUAUCUGCAGAAUUUUGUGUAGUGUAAAUCUUUAAUUUAGUCCUCCAAAGAUUAUGUACAUUUGAUAUGAGAAUGUAGCCAUCAGAAAGUUUUGUCUCUAAAUUAGUCCUUAAAAAUGUGAACUUGGUGACAGUUUUUUGUAUCUUUGCAAGGCUAAUAUGAUGAGACUGUAAUUUGAGGGACUAAUCUGGUAAGAGGUCUGGUGUGGUGUAGGCAGGCUUUGCAGAAUUAACAUCAAACAUAAUGAGUCCUCCUUUGCUGAAAAGACCACAUUGACCUCCCUCUUCUUGACAAAAUUGUAUAAGAGCCCUCAACACCACAGCCACAACGACAUUUGUAAAGAAUGUGCGCCAUAGAAGAGCACUCGCCCACCAUGAAGUUGCUUCUUCCAGUACGAAAAGGACACCAUCAACUGGGGCACGAAAGGUAGCAGCAACACUUGCAGCUGCUCCACACGUGAUUAAAUCCCUUCUACCUCUAUCAUUUUUGAAGUAUCUGAGCCAUUUCUAGCAGACAAUGAAAUAUUUGGUCAGAUACGACGAGUAAUAGUAAUCAUUCAAGUGAUUUGGUUGUGUUAAUUCAUAUGAAUCUUUUUGUGUUAAUCCUAAUUAUUAAUAUUAUUACUAUCUUUUAUGUAUACUUAGACUUGUGAUUUAUUUGUGUUUUCAUGUUAAGUAUAAUGUAUUGUCAACAUAAUUGGUGUCAUCAUGUGACUCCUUGGGUCGGAGCAUGCUCAAUUCGAUUUUGUCUAUAAU